AUAAGUUUUAUGUGGAACUACUGAAAAUAAACUUUCAACCAUUGAUUUUGUAUAGUGCUACUCUAAGCUUACUCUUUGACUAGACAGUGGUAGAAGAGUAUCUUCAACUCGUUGGAUCAUUGCAGCCUCCGAUAAAGAUCCGACUUUGGAAUAUAUAAACGUUUGAACGUUUUAAUAGUACCUUGAACCGUUGGUUAGAUGGAGAAAUUGUAGAGGAUGAAAGGAUCAAAAGAAUUCAAUGGCUUGAGUCCACGUUCAACCAAAGUGGAGAAGUUCGUGUAUGGGUGGAUAUUAAGAUUGACAGAGACGUUCACAAGAUGAUGUAUACUAUAUUCAAAAUUGUUUUGAUGGUUGUAAUCGCAUAGUUAUGUUGUAUUUGUUAAUGAUGGUAUUUUAUUUGUUGUAGUUUGUUGUGUUGUUGUUUAUGUGUUGUAUUUAUUUGUGAUGGUAUUUCUUUACAAAGUUAUCAUAUGAAAUAAAUGUUAUUUUUAAUAUAAAACAAAAGAGUUACAAUUAAAAUUAUCUUGUUGUGUU